rnacentral:lncRNA from 10 species
CUCCACCCAGUUGGAGCUUCCAGGCUGCUUUGUUUACCUAAGCAAGCCUGGCAAUGGCGGGCGCCCCUCCCCCAGCCUCGCUGCCACCUUGCAGUUUGAUCUCAGAUUGCUGUGCUAACAAUCAGCCAGACUCCUUGGGCGUAGGACCCUCCGAGCCAGGUGUGGGAUAUAAUCUCGUGGUGCGCCAUUUUUUAAGCUGGUCAGAAAAGCGCAGUAUUCAGGUGGGAGUGGCCCGAUUUUCCAGGUGCGUCGGUCACCCGUUUCUUUGACUCGGAAAGGGAACUCCCUGACCCCUUGCGCUUCCCAAGUGAGGCAAUGCCUCUCCCUGCUUCGGCUCGCGCAUGGUGCGCGCACCCACUGACCUGCGCCCACUGUCUGGCACUCCCAAGUGAGAUGAACCCGGUACCUCAGAUGGAAAUGCAGAAAUCACCCGUCUUCUGCAUCGCUCACGCUGGGAGCUGUAGACAGGAGCUGUUCCUAUUCGGCCAUCUUGGCUCCUCUCGAUAAUUGCUUUCAUGUGAACCCUUCAUAAGGUAAAAUCAAAUCCCUAUUAGGAUAAAUGAUUGAGUGUUCCUGUAAAGAAUUGUUCCCCUGGUUCAAGCAACCAGAUUUCAUUCCCAGAUGAUCAAAAAUGGACUUGAUGAAAUGGAAAAGCACUGAUAGAAACAGCCGUCGAUAUAUAGCUAAGGAUGAUAACAAGCACAACAAGGACUUACAGCAUUUGCUUUGCACCAGACACCAUCUAAAACACUUCACAAAUAUUAACUCAAAGGAACCUAUCAUUUCCACUGCUCAAAAUUACUCCUGAAGGGAUGAGGACACCAGGAUAUGCCACCGGACCACUGAAGGAAUGGUGAUGGUAUGAAGAAAGUAUUUUUAAUGAGCAGAGCCAUUGUUUGCUCUGCUCUGUCCUCACCCCUCAAGAGAAUUUCCCUUAUUAUUAUGAAAACUUUUUAUCUUAAAAGAUAUUACAUGUUAAUGGAACUGUCGUUUAACAAAUGUUUUAUAAGUGUACCAAUCAAGCACAUUGUCGAAAUAAAAGAUAUGAAAUAAGUGAAAAAAA